UGAAAAGCCGUUUUAAUGGGGGAACAAACCUAAAAUUUGGAAUAAUUGAUAAUAUGUGUAUAUGUAGCCAAUCAGAGCAGAAACCAGAAAAUCAGGCAGCAAGCUUAAGGGAAACGCAACAUACUUUGUUUGGUUUCCUUUUCUUCCAUAAACUGAUCAGGGGUAGGUAGAGUAUGCUGCUAUAGUUCGGAGUCGUCACCAUCCUCACGGAAACGGCAGGAGUGUGAACACCUCCCUGAGCUACCAAGAGCAUCUGACUCGUUGCAACGUGGGCCCGAACCCAGCGCCUCUAGGAAACGUGGGGCCGGGGCCUUUUGGUCCCGGGUGUGGGUUGGGGGUUUGGGGAAGGGCCGGGGCCUUGAUCCCAGGUGUGGGGUUGGGGAUUCCGGGGCUGAGCCGAGGCCUUGGUUAGGGGUGUGGGGCGGGGGUUCGGGGCAGUGCCGGGGCCUUGGUCCCGGGUGUGGGGUUGGGACUUCGGGGCCGGGACCUUCGUCUCAGGUGUGGGGCGGGAGUUCGGGACAGGGCUGGGGCCUGGGUCCCUGGUGGGGCGUUCGGGGCAGUGCCGGGGCCUUGGUCCCGGGUGUGGGGUGGGAGUUUGGGGCAGGGCCGGGGCCUGGGUCCCGGGUGGGGCGGCCGGGGCCUUGGUCCCGGGUGUGGGGUGGGAGUUCGGGGCAGGGCCGGGGCCUGGGUCCCGGGUGUGGGGUGAGGUGUUCCGGGCAGGGCCGGGACCUUGAUCCCAGCUGUGGGGUGGGAGUUCGGGGAAGGGCCAGGGCGUGUCCUGGGUGGCCAGGGUCGGGGCCUGGGUCCUGGGGGUGGGAUGAGGGGUUCGGGGCAGGGCCGGGGCCUUGGUCCAGGGUCUGGGGACAGGCUAGGGCCGGGGUCGCCAUCCGUCCUGGGCGGCGGGCAGGGGUCUUUAAGGGGCGCACGCGGUGGCGGAGGACCAGGGCCCAGCCCUCCGGAAGUCAGGGCCCACACGGCCCCCCAGCGUCAGGCGCUCCGGUCGCG
rnacentral:lncRNA from 1 species